AAGUAGCUUCCUUCCCACCAAUAUAAUGGCUCUAAACAAGGGUGGGCUCUGCAACAGGAGACAUUACCGCCAAAUACACCCUAUAUAUAGCUUCCUUCCCACCAAUAUAGUGGCUCUUCCCUGCAGAGACAAGACUUACAGACUAGUUCAUACUAACAUGCAUCAAAGAAGAAAGUGUUGUGGUUUGCAUAACGAUCAUUUGGUUCAAACCUCAGAGCCAUGGAGUUGUAGAUUAUGUAGUGGUCAGAAUCAAGAUAGAGGAGGAAUGACAUGAUUGCUCUGGUCCUAACCAAAGCAAUCGAUUGGCUCCAGCAUUCUCAUAACCAGGCCGCUUCUAUCUCCCACAGAA